rnacentral:rRNA from 1 species
AAAGGUUUUCGGAUCGUAAAACUCUGUUGUAAGGGAAGAACAAGUACAGUAGUAACUGGCUGUACCUUGACGGUACCUUAUUAAAAAGCCACGGCUAACUACGUGCCAGCAGCCGCGGUAAUACGUAGGUGGCAAGCGUUGUCCGGAAUUAUUGGGCGUAAAGCGCGCGCAGGCGGUCCUUUAAGUCUGAUGUGAAAGCCCACGGCUCAACCGUGGAGGGUCAUUGGAAACUGGGGGACUUGAGUGCAGAAGAGGAAAGUGGAAUUCCAAGUGUAGCGGUGAAAUGCGUAGAGAUUUGGAGGAACACCAGUGGCGAAGGCGACUUUCUGGUCUGUAACUGACGCUGAGGCGCGAAAGCGUGGGGAGCAAACAGGAUUAGAUACCCU